AAUUGAUGAUAUAUAAGCACACAUAACUGGAGUGUGACAAAAAGAAGACAAAGAAACAUAGUCCAAGUCAACUUUGCCAGUAUGAUUCUCUUAUUUCUACUUACAAGACUCGUUUUACCAUCAUAGUCCAAGGGAGAUAAGCAUCAAAACGACAGAGUGUCAAAUAAGAAGAAAAUAGCCGUUAGGAUGGAGAAGAAGAAUAUAGCCGUUGGAGACAGGAGCUAAAAGCAGUAAAAAGAAAAAGAAAAAAAAAUCGUUAUUCAAAAUAUGACCGUUGUGAUAUUAGUAUAUAUAUACUCGUCCCUUGUCCCUUUUUUUCAUUCAGAUUACAAAAUACAUUCCCUCUGAAAAAAGGAACCAAGAAAGUUCCACCUCUCACUCUCUCACUCUCACUCUCUCACUCUCACUCUUUCAUAGCUAGCUCUUUGAUUCGAUCUGAUAAUAUAUCAUGGAAGGAACAACUGCGAUGGUUGACCAGACGUACGAGUUCUUGGCUACUGCGAUGGUUCGAUGGAAGACGUACAAGUGCUACUCCGUUGAUCUCACAGCAGUUCCAAGGGACAAAACAAAACGCCUAAGCAGAUAGAAAACAAGGACUGAAACUGUUUCCCCAUCCUAACACAGAAGCAGCAACCUGCUAGAAAAGUAGCUAGCCCUUCUAAGGAAUCCAUCUGCACUGAGGGUAAAACCAGUCACAUUCGUCUCAACCGAAAGGAACUAAUCAGAAAAUUGUGAAAAAGGGAAACGAGUCCCAAGAACAUAGCUGGGCACUGCAUGACUGAGAAACUGUUUCCUCUUCAUCAUUUUUUUCCAGAUUCUAAAUCCAAAACCAACGACUCUGCUCCACAAGACAAGACAAGACAAGACGAGACAAGACAAGGCAAGACAAGACAAGACAAGACAAGACAGGACAGGACAAGACAAGACAAGGUCUCGUUGACACCGGUUUCAAUGUAAUGCCCUUCGGUCAUUAGGCAAACUUCGGAAGAGAACAUAAAAGGUUUCUCAAGCUACACCUUUCAUGUCAACUGCUGAACUGAUGAAAAUGAGCAGGCGAGACUUGUCACUGCCUCAUGCCAACACUUGUUUUCCACAGGUAUUAACUCUUGAUACUUUCUCUGAUUUAAGUGAUUCGACCUUUUCUAGCUUCAGAUACGUGUUUGCUAAGUUUUUUUUAAUAUAUAUAUAUAUAUAUAUAUUUUACAAAAUAUUUUCACUUGUUUGUUUUUUUUUUAAAUAUAUAUUUUACAAAAUUUUCACCCUUUGGAAAAUGUGUAAGUGAUAAAUUUGUGGUCCGUUAGAGGUGUCGUUUUAUAAAUUUUACAAAAUAUUUUCACAUUGAAAAAUAUUUAGUUGAUAAUUUUCGAUAUGUUGAAAGCAAACCAAACUCUUAUACCCUGUCUUUAGAAUUUUCUAUAGUAGGUGUAUAUGUUUAAUAUGUUUUUCCCAUAUUGUAAAUUUGUCACUUGCACUAAUUUCAAAGUUUUUCGUAUCUGAUGUAUUAGUAUUUUGAUCUAAUUAAGAUUUUUAACAAUAUUUUGUUUUCAAAAAAAGUCAAAUGUUGAAAUUUUAAAAUGUGAAAACGAACUGAACGUACCAUCCUGUCAUUUGGUCCUUUUGAGGUGUAUAAAUUCAAUCAGCUUAUACAUAGAAUAUAAAUUUAACAUUUUUUUUUUACCUUUGAUUUUUGGAUUUAUAAAAAUUAUUUUUUCAUUGCUUGUGAAAUAUUUUAAUUUCAGAAAAGAUAUUAAGUCUUAAAUUUUCAAAAUUGUGAAAACAAAAUCUAACUUAUAAUAUAGUGUCUCUACUUUCUUUAGAGAUGUAUAAGUUCAAUCAGUUUAUACAUUGAAUAUAAAUUUAACAUUUAAUUUUUUACCUUUGAUUUUUGGAUUUAUAAAAAUGAUUUUUGCAUUGUUUGCGAAAUAUUUUUAUUUCAGAAAAGAUAUUAAGUGCUAAAUUUUCAAAAUUGUGUAAACAAAUCAAACUUAUAAUAAUGUCUAUACUUUCUUUGUUGUUGUUAAUAUGUAUAAUAUUUACACUUAAUGUAAACUAGGUGACAACCCCGCACAUGUGCAGAGUACGUUUUUAUAAUAAUGUUUGUUCAUUAAAUGGCUUUAAAAGUUUGUAAAACACUAUAAUCUUUAUCAAAUGUAAAAUGACCAAUAUGAAUGUUGAUUUCUUAAAUGUAUCAUCGUUGUUGAAGAAUUAACAUAUAUUACAGCUCAUUUCAAUUA